rnacentral:piRNA from 1 species
UGCCUAUAAUUUUGAGGUUUGACCUUGA